rnacentral:lncRNA from 1 species
CCAAACUUGGUGGUGUAAAAUACCACCAAUCAUUUUAUUAUUAACUCCCACAAGUUUGGGAAGUUGCCUGAGCUCACUUAGGCGGUAUUCACUCAGAGUGUCUCACACACUUGCUGUCAGACAAUGGUUGACACUCAAAUAUUCUGAAUGCUUGAUGCUCACGUGGCUGGCAUGUGGGCUGGGACCACUCAAACAGCUGGAAUUUGGAACUUCUAGGGACCCUAGGAAUGCUUCUUUGUCUCUGUGUGGUCUCUUCAGCAUAGCAACAGCAGCGUAGCUGAACAUCUUACGGAUGGCCCAGGGCUCCAAAGGCUCGUUUCCUAAGUGAGAGAGAGCCUGGCUGAAGCUGUAUUACCAUUCAUUCUCCAGCCUCCGAAGUCUCAAAGCAUCACUUCCACCAUACUCUAACUGUCAAGACAAACACAAAGGCCCAGAAACUGCCAGACUGUCUUCUGAAGUGGCUAUAAUAUUUACACUCCCAUCAGCAGUGUAGAAGGGGUCUCACUAUGUUGUCUGGAGUGCUGUGGUGGAGUGGAGUGGCUAUUCACAGCUGAGUUUGCAGAGUAAACCACUACCCUGAAAUCUGGAAAGGCAGGUGCACCCACAGAUCCUCAGCUGAGAUCCAAUUACCUGAAAUAGAAGCUGCCAUUAGGAACACUUAAAAGAGCCUGUUCUGCUGGGACACAGAAUCACUUGCUCCAUCUCAUACAUUGAUGAUGAUUAAUUUGUAUGUGUACCUUCCAAAAAAGAUGGUUGUGUUUGAAUGGAGGCCUUCUGGACAGGAAAAUAUGGAGAGUGCGUGCUUUGGAUUCAAGACUGGGAAUGAGGGGACCAGAAACCUAUUCUGUGGCUGUUUCUUGUUAGGACUUUCCUAAGCCUCUGGAAAAGUGCAAAGUACAAUUAACAUUUGAGUCUGUCUGAGUCAUGAAGAAAUGGAGAUUACUGAAAAUAAUUCAUUUUGGUAUCUUCUUACAUCCUGAGAGACUAAUCUUUCCAAGUUCAUCUGAGGCUCCUCUUCUCCAUGACAACCUCAUCCAGGGAUUUCUUCCUGUCCUGGUGUUUUAUGACAUAAUCACAUCCUUCCUGAGAUAAUGAGCACACAAUUGCCUGGAUACCUGAAGGAAUGGAGACAGCGGCAGAAAACACUGCAGAGAGGUGGAAACAUCCGUUAAUAUUUUAAAAUCCCAUUACUGCUACCAACAAUAAUAAUGGAUGCAUAGAAAUAGAUCUGGAUUAGCUGAGCUUGAAACAGUCCAUCUCACACACACACAAAAGAAUUUCAGAUACAGUGAACCCACAUGUUGAAGCUUUCUAGUAUAAUAAAAAUUUCAACUGUUCUGUUGAAUCAUCUGCCUGAUUGGAGGCUACAGAAAAGAUGUCAUCUUAG